CGCGGCGGCCGCCGCUGCUGGCGCCUCCGGGCCGGCGCCGCUCUCGCUACUUUUCUCGCCUCGGCCGCCGCCCCUCCCCCUCCGAGGGCGGAAGACGCGGGCGAAUAUCCUGCCGCCCGGCACAAGAUGGCGGCCGGCGCCCACCCCUGGGCUUUGUCAUUGGACGGCGCCGGGCCCCCCGGUUCCUUUCUUCUCCUCUCUAGCCUCCCUUCGCCCUCUGCCUUUCUUUAAAUGCGCCCGCCUCGGGCCCCGCCCACCGCGGCCCCGGCUCCGCCCAUUGGGUGCUCUCUGGGAGGGGGCGGGGACUAGCGGAGGGGGCGGGGCCGAGAGGCCAGGCCCUGGAAGAUGGUGCUGGGCUGGGUGCUGGUGGAGGCCCUUGAACGCCAGUCCACAGUUGGGUGGGCGUGCGGGGACGGCGGCCUUCCGCCCCACCUUGGGGACAGCCCCUCUCGGAGUGAGCGGGUGCCUGUGUGACCCACCAGUCUGCACGACACAGGCGGUCCCUCCUCUCCCAGCAGGGAACUGGGGGUGGGGGGUGGGGGGGGUCCAACCUACAGGGGAUGGGCCUUGCCCACUUCCCUUCCAGACCGUCCAACACCUCCCCUGGCAUCUUCAACUCUUCCUUCCUUUGGCCCUGAUCCGUCUCAGGCAACCAACAAUAAUCCAGAUUCCUUCGGGUCCUGAGGGCAGCGUUGGCGGGAUGGUCUCCUCCUAGGCCAUGGAACCAUCUUCCUAUUUAAGAAGACGCUCUGCCUCCGGGGGAAGCAAGGGCCGCUAUACCUGUAACACUACCCCCUCGUUGCUCCAGUUGAUCAGAGACCAAUCACGGCACAGCCGUUCUCCUUGAUGGAAACAGCCCUGGUUUUAUGAAUGAGUCGUUCAGUCUAAAUGACUGCGCUCCACCUUUUCACUGAAGUUGUAGCAGGUGCCUCUGCAGCACCCUCUCUCUCAUCUAGAAAAGCUGCAGCGUCACAAUCGAUAAAGUUCUCUUGGUAAUAAGUCCGUUGUUAAGGACACAUUCCCUUCUGCGUUUGAGGGGAGAAGGGCUGGGAAAGUAGGGCUAGUUUCUUCUAGUUCCUAGGACUGUCCUGAGACACUAUAAAGUUUAUGGGAAGUUCUCGGAUUUUUCUCCUUAAGGAAUGGCUGGCUGUCUAACGUCCUAAGUUUUGCUCCUUUACUUCUCGUGGGGAAUGAUGCUUCCUACAUCAGAUAACCAAGUGAUGGAUAAUGAGAAUGUUUAUAGGGGAGUGGUCCAUUCCCUGGUCCUUCUCUCUCUCUCUCUCCUGACUGGCACUCCAGUGGGCACUCCGUGUUUGCCAAGUCCAUCAGUGAAAUCCUGCGGAUUACUUGCAAUGGGAUGAGGAAAUCUGGACCCACGGAGGCUCACUAAUAGGGCUUGUUGAUAGCACCACCGGGACUCCUGUUUAUUGGAUUCCUAACCCAGAGGUCUUUAUAUUUCACUGGAGGCUUCUGUGCUGCCUAGACUCGGAGGUUCAGCAGAAAAUGCAUAACGCAUGAGACGUGACCAAUGGACAGAGCUGUACCCCUAUUUCUACUUCAACUCUCCCCAAAAUGGAGCAGUUUUGAUCGGUGUUGUAUUGGAAUGAACAGAUAUUUUGUUUGAACGAGGUUUUAAUAAAAACUAAACCAAAA